rnacentral:rRNA from 1 species
UUCCUACGGGACGCAGCAGUCGAGAAUCAUUCACAAUGGGGGAAACCCUGAUGGUGCGACGCCGCGUGGGGGAAUGAAGGUCUUCGGAUUGUAAACCCCUGUCAUGUGGGAGCAAAUUAAAAAGAUAGUACCACAAGAGGAAGAGACGGCUAACUCUGUGCCAGCAGCCGCGGUAAUACAGAGGUCUCAAGCGUUGUUCGGAAUCACUGUGCGUAAAUCGUGCGUAGGCUGUUUCGUACGUCGUGUGUGAAAGGCGCGGGCUCAACACGCGGACGGCACAUGAUACUGCGAGACUAGAGUAAGAG